rnacentral:rRNA from 1 species
UACGAAGGGGGCUAGCGUUGCUCGGAAUCACUGGGCGUAAAGGGUGCGUAGGCGGGUCUUUAAGUCAGGGGUGAAAUCCUGGAGCUCAACUCCAGAACUGCCUUUGAUACUGAGAAGCUUGAGUCCGGGAGAGGUGAGUGGAACUGCGAGUGUAGAGGUGAAAUUCGUAGAUAUUCGCAAGAACACCAGUGGCGAAGGCGGCUCACUGGCCCGGUACUGACGCUGAGGUGCGAAAGCGUGGGGAGCAAGCAGG